rnacentral:rRNA from 1 species
AUUGAACGCUAGCGGGAUGCCUUACACAUGCAAGUCGAACGGAGUGGCGAACGGGCGGGUAAUGUAUCGGAACGUGCCCACUAGCGGGGGAUAACUACGCGCAAGCGUAGCUAAUACCGCCUGCUAUUGGAGAGGCCGAUAUGGGAUUAGCUAGGUGGGGGGGUAACGGCCCACCAAGGCGACGAUCCGUAGCUGGUUUGAGAGGACGACCAGCCAAACGGGGACUGAGACACGGCCCAGACUCCUACGGGAGGCAGCAGUGGGGAAUUUUGGACAAUGGGGGAAACCCUGAUCCAGCCAUCCCGCGUGUGCGAUGAAGGCCUUCGGGUUGUAAAGCACUUUUGGCAGGAAAGCGGUACCUGCAGAAUAGGCACCGGCUAACUACGUGCCAGCAGCCGCGGUAAUUC